AGUGAACGCUGGCGGCGUGCUUAACACAUGCAAGUCGAACGAGAACGGAUUAUAGCUUGCUAUAAUUGUCAGCUAAGUGGCGCACGGGUGAGUAAUGUAUAGGUAAUAUGCCUCUUACUAAGGGAUAACAAAUGGAAACGUUUGCUAAUACCUUAUACUCCUUAUUAACAGAAGUUAAUAAGGGAAAGAUUUAUUGGUAAGAGAUUAGCCUGUAUUGUAUCAGUUAGUUGGUGGGGUAAUGGCUUACCAAGACUAUGACACAUAACUGGUUUGAGAGGAUGAUCAGUCACACUGGAACUGAGACACGGUCCAGACUCCUACGGGAGGCAGCAGUGGGGAAUAUUGCACAAUGGACGAAAGUCUGAUGCAGCGACACCGCGUGUGGGAUGACGGCCUUCGGGUUGUAAACCACUUUUAUUUGGUCAUAUGACCUUUUGAAUAAGCAACUACUAAUUAUGUGCCAGCAGCCGCAGUAA
rnacentral:rRNA from 1 species